rnacentral:rRNA from 1 species
CUACGGGAGGCAGCAGUUUCGAAUCAUUCACAAUGGGCGAAAGCCUGAUGGUGCGACGCCGCGUGAGGGAUGAAGGUCUUCGGAUCGUAAACCUCUGUCACCGGGGAAGAAACGCUAAUCGAUAACAUCGCUUAGCCUGACUUAACCCGGAGAGGAAGCAGUGGCUAACUCUGUGCCAGCAGCCGCGGUAAUACAGAGACUGCAAGCGUUAUUCGGAUUCACUGGGCGUAAAGGGUGCGCAGGCGGCCAUGUGUGUGAGGUGUGAAAUCCCGGAGCUUAACUCCGGAACUGCGCCUCAAACUACAUGGCUAGAGCAUUGGAGAGGGAAGUGGAAUUCACGGUGUAGCAGUGAAAUGCGUAGAUAUCGUGAGGAACACCAGGGGCGAAGGCGACUUCCUGGACAAUUGCUGACGCUCAGGCACGAAAGCGUGGGGAGCAAAAGGGAUUAGAUACCCUAGUAGUCC